GCCACCAGCCUCAGUUGCCACCAGCCUCAACCUUCAAUUGCCGCCAGCUGACAGCAUCAGUUGCCAGCUGCCUCCACCCCCACCUUCAUCAACUUCCCUCUACCUCAGGUCUCGUUCCGACUGACCAGAACGCAGCCUCAGUCACCUUAACAGUUGCCAGGCGUAGUUGCCGUCCAUCCUCAGUUUCCAAUAACCUCAGCCUCAUCCUCCAGCUGCCAUUGGUCUCACCGUCAACAGUCCAGCGGUCACUGACUGAUUCCUCCUUCACGGUCAGCGACCACGCCAUCUGGUGUUGCCUCCUAAGAUGCAGUGUUGUGACAGCUACCUUCUCCAACAUCCGCCAAUUACACCACUUCAUGUGCAGGAAUUGACACGCUCUGAUACACUCUAUAUCCAUAUAUAUUAUCCAUACACUAUACAAAGCAUUUCAUCAAUCUUCUCAUAACCAGAGGGGCGGUCGGGUAGCCUAGUGGUUAAAGCGUUCGCUCGUCACGCUGAAGACCCUGGUUCGAUUCCCGACAUUGGUACAAUGUGUGAAGGCCAUUUCUGGUGUCCCCCGCCGUGAUAUUGCUGGAAUAUUGCUAAAAGCGGCGUAAAACCAUACUCACUCACUCACAUAACCAGGAUGAUCCAAAGAUGCCAACUUAACAUGUUGGAAUUAUCAGGAUCUGUUUUAUGGUAUAUCGAUAUCCAUAUAUCUUAUCCAUAAACUAUUCAGAGCAUUUCAUCAAUCUUGACAACUGGCAUGAUCCAAAGAUGCCAACUUAACAUGUUGGAAUUAUCAGGAUCUGUUUUGUAUGUUUAAAACUUGGUACAACAUCCUGCUUUUGACACGAUCGUCCUCUUACAAGUCCCUGAAGGUGUCCAUGUGUACCUCCUGAUGACUCGGCAGCUCUGAGGUGUUGAGGGGUGUUUCAUAUUUCAUGGCUCACAUUUCUACCUGAAACACCCGCUAACACCUUCUAGUUGAACGAUGACUCGGUUGUAUUCACAAACAUUUUCUAGGGUAAUUGUAUUUGGUCAACGUCUUCAGUCAGGGGAUUGUUGUGAAAGAUUUUAAUACAGGAAGUAUGUACUCGUAUUGAAAUGAGCGUGUCAUAUCUCACUGGUAUCUUCCGAGAACGUAUCAAAUUGCAUUUGGUUAGAACGUCACCUCAACAAAAUAUUUCGGUUGACAUUCAUGAUACAAUGUGUUUAAGGAGAAUAUUCCCAAUCAUGUGCGGUGUAAGGUAGGAUGUUGGAAGCAUCAGUCUACCACUGACGUCCAUGGGUGUUGAACAGAACUAAGUGAUAAGGCACCCUUGCCGCAGCUGUACACCGCCCCGCCUACCACACCCGUCUACCGCACCCGCCUACCACAUCCGUCUACCACACCCGUCUACCACACCCGUCUACUGCAACCGUCACCGCUCUUAUCUAUGGCAUUUCCCCCCAAUACCAAUGGACUAGUGUGGACCCAGCUUCUGUCCUCCACGAUGUAUGUAAACUCUAAAGGACUGGAGUGUCCCCAUAGCCAUGCUGCUCCAAUGUCUGUGCUUGUCACACUGAAGACCACAACACGACAAUCUGUAUAAUCAUAGUUACAAAGGAUGCUGACUACAUAUCAGAUAUGAGUUGAUACAGUUAACUAAGUCUUUCUUCAAUUCAAAUCCCUUCUCCUAGAUCAGUUAUAACUGUCUUUCAACGUCACCUAUUACCACUUACUCAAAAACCGUCAUAUGAAAUUUAUUUUGGUCUCUAUCAGUUGGAUGGAUAUAUACAGGUGUAGUUGAGCCAUGCUGCCCUGGAUAUAUACAUCUGAAUUCAAAUAAGUACAGAUCAAACGUGAAUGUGUUGACACUCGGGGAAUUCAAAAGUUUAGUGUUUAUAGUUUAGGAUACACACAGGUUGCCGCCGUGCUUCAAAUUCUGUCUGCAUGUGUCAUCUUAAUUUGGAAACUUUCUUUCGGCCUUUCAUGAGAAUGGAUAUAUACAGAUGUGGUUGAGCCAUGCUGCUCUGGAUGUAUUCAUUUGAUACCUUCUAAACAAGCAUAGAGUCUUCAGAGUAUGAGUGCAAACAGGAUUAUCAAACCAUAAUUAAACUGAACAAACAAGUCAAAAUAUCAAUCGAAAAGUUGAUCUGGGUCACAUUUGAUCUUGUCAUUGCAAUUUCCAGUGAUAUUAAUGACGAUAAAUAUUUCAUAUCUAUAGCCAAACAUUCAAUAAGUAUAAACGUUUUACCUUGAGGGGACAGCACGGCAUCGUGGUUGAAGUGUUUGUAGGGUUAGGUUUGAUUGUUAGCAUGUCACAGUGUCUGAUAUUCUGAUAUUCUUCAUAUACAGCUAAAAGCAGCCAAAAGCCACAAACCCAUGAUAAAGAUGUAUAUAUUUCUAUAUAUUUUUCGUACUCCUUUCACUGUCUCAUUGUAACGUCUUGUAAGAACACGUUGCUGUUUAAAUGUGUCAUUACGUGGUGAUUUCCCUCAUGCCAUUUGUAAAUUUGUUUUUAAUAAAGUUUUAAACUUAAGCUAUAUCAUGUUGACAAGUUGUCACCUGGUUACUAUUUGCUCCACG